rnacentral:rRNA from 1 species
AUUGAACGCUGGCGGCAGGCCUAACACAUGCAAGUCGAGCGGGGUUUUCGGACCUAGCGGCGGACGGGUGAGUAAUGCGUAGGAAGCUACCCGAUAGAGGGGGAUACCAGUUGGAAACGACUGUUAAUACCGCAUAAUGUCUACGGACCAAAGUGUGGGACCUUCGGGCCACAUGCUAUCGGAUGCGCCUACGUGGGAUUAGCUAGUUGGUGAGGUAAUGGCUUACCAAGGCGACGAUCCCUAGCUGGUUUGAGAGGAUGAUCAGCCACACUGGAACUGAGACACGGUCCAGACUCCUACGGGAGGCAGCAGUGGGGAAUAUUGGACAAUGGGCGCAAGCCUGAUCCAGCCAUGCCGCGUGUGUGAAGAAGGCCUUCGGGUUGUAAAGCACUUUCAGUAGGGAGGAAGGGUUAAGUGUUAAUAGUACUUAACUUUGACGUUACCUACAGAAGAAGCACCGGCUAACUCUGUGCCAGCCGCCGCAGUAAUAC